rnacentral:rRNA from 1 species
GAUGAACGCUGGCGGCGUGCUUAACACAUGCAAGUCGAACGGAAAGGCCCAAGCUUGCUUGGGUACUCGAGUGGCGAACGGGUGAGUAACACGUGGGUGAUCUGCCCUGCACUUCGGGAUAAGCCUGGGAAACUGGGUCUAAUACCGGAUAGGACCACAUUUUGGAUGGUGUGGUGGAAAGUUUUUCGGUGUGGGAUGAGCUCGCGGCCUAUCAGCUUGUUGGUGGGGUAAUGGCCUACCAAGGCGUCGACGGGUAGCCGGCCUGGGAGGGUGUACGGCCACAUUGGGACUGAGAUACGGCCCAGACGCCUACGGGAGGCAGCAGUGGGGAAUAUUGCACAAUGGGCGCAAGCCUGAUGCAGCGACGCCGCGUGGGGGAUGACGGCCUUCGGGUUGUAAACUCCUUUCGCUAGGGACGAAGCGUUAUGUGACGGUACCUGGAGAAGAAGCACCGGCUAACUACGUG